UGAAAGGUAGUAGGUGGGAAAUGCUUGGUCGGUAGGAAGAAAAGCAUGAGGACUAAUAUAACAAGAGAGAGUCCACAUUCACAUUGAAGGUGGUAGGAAACUGCUGCUUCCUUCACAGGAAGAAAAGCAUGCAUAAGGCCUGAUAUAUAUAACAAGAGAGAGUCCAUUGUCCACACUCCAUACCAUACUGCAUAUUCCAAUUCUUUGAGAGGCUCUUUUCUUUAGUUCAUUUGUCUUUAAUUCUCUUAUGGGCAUUCAACUUGCCUCUUCUUCUUCCUUGCCUCCUUCAUGGACAUAUGAUGUAUUUUUGAGUUUUAGAGGUGAAGAUACACGCUUUACUUUUACAGAUCACUUAUACGCGGCCUUGUACCGUAACGGAAUCGACACAUUCAUUGAUCGCCAUCUUAAAAGAGGAGAAGAGAUAUCACCGGCUUUUCUAAAAGCAAUUGAAGAGUCGAGAAUUUCAAUCAUUGUAAUCUCUGAAAAGUAUGCAUCGUCAAGAUGGUGCUUGGAUGAACUCGUAUAUAUCCUUGAAUGUAGAAGGUCAAGGCAGCAAAUAGUUUGGCCAGUUUUCUACAAGGUGGAUCCAUCCCAUGUACGAAAUCAAACGAGUAGUUUCGGUGAUGCAUUUACAGGACUUGAGUGCAAAUACAAGGACGAGGAGAAGAUCCUCUUAUGGAGGAGAGCUCUCAGAGAAGCAGCAAAUUUGUCAGGUUAUACUGUCAAAGAGGAAGAGUAUGAAGCUACAUUUAUCGAUAAGAUUGUUACAGAGAUCUUAGUCAAAGUACUACAACGUACACAUUUGAAUGUGGCCAAAUACCUAGUUGGAAUACAAUCUUGCGUUCAAGAGAUGAAAGAGCUUUUAGGUGAUAAGUUUCGAAUUUGGGGAUCCAAUAUUCUUCAAAAUCAUACAGUUACAAGGCAUCUUGUCACAUAUAAUAUGUCAUACAGUGACAUCAGACAAUUGAAGGGAUUUAAGAAUUUGGAAAAUCUUAAAUAUAUGAAUUUACGCGGGUGCAAAUUUCUGGAAAAAAUUCCCGACUUAUCCGGAAGUCCAAAUAUAGAGUAUUUGGAUCUUCAUGGCUGCACAAAUUUGGUUGAGAUUGAUGAUUCUAUUGGAUUCCUCGAUAAACUUGUUACAUUAAAUCUUAUGGGGUGCUCUAGGCUUACGAGGUUUGCACCAAGACUUAGAUUGAGAUCCCUUAAAAGGCUUUAUCUUCAUGGUUGCACAAGGCUGGAGAGUUUUCCAGAAAUAGAGGAUGAGAUGGAAUCUUUAAAGCAUUUGGAUAUACAAAAAAGUGGCAUAAGAGAAUUGCCUUCAUCAAUUGCAUAUCUUACUGGGCUUGCCGAAUUGUUAGCAAUGGAAUGUGAGAAUCUUAUAGGUACAUCAUUACAUCAUCUUUAUGGGUUGCAACAUCUCUCUGGGGUUUAUUUCAAUGAAUGCCCAAAACUGGUGACAUUUGGGAAGAACAAGAUGAAGUUUGAUGAAGUUUCAUCCAGCAGUACCGAAUCUCAACUGCUUUCAACUGACUUAGAGACUUCACAAGACAAGUGUAGCACAUAUGCUUUUCCCAACCUAUAUUAUCUUUAUCUUGAAGGAUGCAAUUUAUCAGAAAGUGAUUUUCUUGUGCUUCUUGAUUGCUGGUCCACAUUAACAUGGCUUGAUCUGUCGAGAAAUAAUUUUGUUAGUCUUCCGGAUUGCAUUAGCAAAUUUGUCAACUUGGAAAGACUUAAUUUGAGAGGUUGCAAGAGGCUUCGGAAAACUCCACAAGCCCUUCCACCAAAACUAUACGAGUUAUAUCUGGAUGAUUGCACAUCAUUGGAGAAAAUUUCAAAACUGCCCCCGGAGCUUCAUGUUCUGCACCUGUCAAAUUGCUUUAGACUAUGUGGCCAUGGGGUGGCAAAGUUGGAAAAUAGUUUGUUGAAUGAGGGAUCUCUUCGGCGCUCUAAAUUGGAAGUUAUUUAUCCAGGCAAUGAAGUUCCAAAGUGGUUCAACUAUAACUCUAACCAUCCCACAACCAUUCAACGUAUACCGGCUGAAUAUGACUGGAGGAGAAAAGACUUUAUUGGAGGCAUUAGUUUUCCAGCUCCUAUAAAAUAUGAAGGGAGGGGAGAAAACUUUGUUGGAACUAGUAGUUUUAAAAUUCCUCUAAAUUUACAAGUGGGGGAUACGUUAUUAGGAUUGGUUCUAUCUACUGUUUUUGAACCAUCGAAUUUUAAUUAUUAUGUUAUCAUCAACGGAACAGAAGGCUCUAGACUAUGUACUUACAGGAGACACUAUGUAUGGCCUUGUACGAACUUGGAGGCAGCUCAUGUGGAGCUCAAGUUAGUAGAUUUAGAAAAGAAGCAGGGAGGUAUUUGUAAUGUUGAAUUUGUUUUCCGCAGGGGCGCACGCAUUAAAAGUUGCGGGGUGCACCCACUAUUGCGCAAAGAAGACGAAUGGCUUCCUUGUCUUUGGGACCAACAAGUAGUCUUGGGAAGAGGCCUUGUCCACUUGGAUCCUCAGAUACCGUCCACGAGGAAUAUGAUCGGCAACGACAAUGGCUUUCCUUAUCUUCGAACCCGGCGGAUUGAUCUUAAUGUUCCUUUUGAUAUUGAGGAGGAGGAACAAGAGCAACCAUCCACUUCAGAUGAUUCACAAUUUUUUCUUCAUUAGGAGUUUGGGUGUGAGAUGCAAUACAAUCUUGAUGAAAGGAAAUGUACAAGCUAGCGAGGCUAUCAGUAGUAGUAUGGACACUGGUGGAGGUUGGCAGCUGGCAUAUAUAUAUUCUGACCGAGCAGGCGAAGACGGGAAGAAGGAAGGAGGAGUUCAAAGAGUGUAUUUGCAUCAGGAUAGUGCACUUUGGUGUCAGCCUGCGUCGGUUGUUUCAAUUUCUGGUGUAAGACAAGAAAGGAAGCUCAUUCAUGCUGGUCUGGUUAGUCAGCCUGAUGUUUCAGAAACUUUCUUGUUUGUCAACCUUCUAUGUUGUCGGGUGCAUCGAUUCUUGGAUAUUUGUUUACUUGAAGGUGCCUGAAACUAAGGGCAUGCCUCUUGAAGUCAUCUCUGAGUUCUUUGCUGCAGGUGUAAACCCAGCUGCUGCUGAUGCAUCUGCGGAUUUCAAUGAAAAGUGAUUUGAUUGUUUAGAGGGUUUGAAAUUUGGUUUUAUUUUAGACUGGGAUUGUGAGGACAGGACUUGAGUUGGAGAAGUGCUUAUGACUAGAUUGCUUUUUUUGAAAGUGAUUUUCUAUCAUCACUGUCCCUCCCUUAAUGCUGCACAAGUAUAUUUGAUACCAUGCUUCCUAAUCAUAGACUCAUAAGCCUAAGCCGAGCCCAGUUGGCGUGUAGCACCAGCAAUAGGAAAGUCUGCUGAGAAAAGUCAGUCAUCGUCUUCACUAAAUUGAGUUAGAGGAAUUAGGGUUUUAGAUUUGAAAAGAUCCAAACUUUAUCAUUCUCUCCGAAAGUAAUCAGAGAAAUGGAAAGUCAAUCAAAGGACGGAGACUCGCUGGAGAAGCGGCCCGGCAUCUUCUUCCUCGACUCCCCCGGCGUCGGCAACCGCUCUCUCAUUACGCGUAAGCUCUCUCUCCUUUGACCGAUACUAAGCAUGAUCUGUUGAUUUGUUGGAUUACUGGGUUUGGAUUUUGGCGAUGCUUCUCAUUCUUCAUCGUCAUCUCAGCCGGUAGUCAAUGGGUGGAAUAUCUCUACAAUGUACUACACAGCUGACGUUUCGGUAUGGAUGGCUCAUCUCCAUGACGAAUUUUCGAUUGAGUCCCUCCCAAUAUUUGACCAGUUGGCUGCCUUGAUCUUGGUUUUCGACACAACUGAGUUGUCGUCUCUGUCUGCGCUUCAGAAAUGGGUAUCUCGAACUGAUCUUCAAAAGUUCGAUAUACUAGUGUGCAUAGGGAAUAAGGUUGAUCUUGUUCCGGGUCACCCGGUUCAUACCGAAUAUAGAAGACGACUGCAGAAGCUUGGAGACCCGUUUGCUGAUGACGGUCCAGGGUUCACUGUGUAUGGAAUCACCGAGGCUGAAGGAAGCAGUUUAUUGGGGGAUGACGAGUCAUCAUAGGAGGCCAGAGGCACAUGUUUGGAAUGGUGCACUGAGCAUAACAUUGAGUUCGUCGAAGCUUAUGCUGAUUUUAACAAAUGUAAGGCAGCCCUUCUUUCUGACUCGUAUUUUAUGGCAAGUUUUAUACGAAAGUGAAAGUUUGAAGCCGGAUGAGAUGUCAAGUUGUUACUAGGCAGCAGUUUAGGAGUGGUUAGGGGAAUGUGGUUUAGCCAAUUACAUAAAAACGUGGUCGUCACAACUAAAAAUUUCUCGGGAAUGUGGGAGAAUAAUAGGGUUUGGCCAAUUAGGCGUUUGACUAAUAUAUGUACCAAGAGUGGCUUGAGCGGCAGAUCAACUUAAUCAAUUGGCAUAACCACAUAAGCAGCACACAGGAUAAACUCAAUUGAACGAGUUGGUGCUCAGGCUCUUUUGUUCAUGAAGAAAUUUUUCAUUAUUGUGCCUGGAACAGAGGUGGGAUACCACAUAUUAUUAGAUAAGUGGAGAGAAGUUUUAUUUGUCUAA